CCUACGGGCGGCUGCAGUGGGGAAUUUUGGACAAUGGGCGCAAGCCUGAUCCAGCUAUUCCGCGUGUGGGAUGAAGGCCCUCGGGUUGUAAACCACUUUUGUAGAGAACGAAAAGACACCUUUUAAUAAAGGGUGUUGCUGACGGUACUCUAAGAAUAAGCACCGGCUAACUACGUGCCAGCAGCCGCGGUAAUACGUAGGGUGCGAGCGUUAAUCGGAAUUACUGGGCGUAAAGGGUGCGCAGGCGGUUGAGUAAGACAGAUGUGAAAUCCCCGAGCUUAACUCGGGAAUGGCAUAUGUGACUGCUCGACUAGAGUGUGUCAGAGGGAGGUGGAAUUCCACGUGUAGCAGUGAAAUGCGUAGAUAUGUGGAAGAACACCAGAGGCGAAGGCGGCUAACUGGACUGCAACUGACGCUGAGGCACGAAAGUGUGGGGAGCAAACAGGAUUAGAUACCCCUGUAGUC
rnacentral:rRNA from 1 species